GCAGGCGCGCUGAUGUCGGUCGACGAGACGCUCAUGUGCUCGUUCCAGAUACUGAAGCCGGCCGACAAGCGCAAGCUCUACUCCGGCCUCAACAUGGGCCGCCCCAACACGCCGCCGCGGGCGCAGCCCAAGAGCAAGAAGAACUAGCCCCUGAACGCGAGCAUCGACAUCAACCCGCAUGGAUUCCCGCUACACUAGAUUACCUGCGACCUAGGUUUAAUGAUAGCUUACAAAUGAACCCUAAAAUCGUGCAUUUCAGGGCUCAGUGCGUCUGAUGACUGAUGUGUCAAGUAUUAUUCAUUGCUAAUCAAAAUAUUGCGCUGUGAUUUGACUCGCAUUGUAAUUUAAUGUAUUUUGAUUAACAAUAAUAAUAACUUUAUUAUAUGCAUAUGAUUUGUAAUUCGCCGUUUCGCGUCGGAUAUUAGAUACUCGCUUCUAGUGUAGGCUCUUGCAGUUAAUAUUUUUUUUGUAAGCUAUCAAUAAAUACAUCGAUAUUUGUACGGACUUAAAUUUUUAUAUAUAAUUUGUAAUCAUGAAGUCAAUGUACGCGCUCUCUCAUACGUGCUUAGGGCCCCGAGUUUAUCCGUAAAAUAAUUAAUGGGUUAAUCGCUACAUAGUAUGAAACAAAGUAACUUUCUCUGUCCCUGUCUCCCUUUUGUAUGCUUAAAUGUCCAAAACUACGUAACGGAUUAUGUUUUUUUUUUAAUAGAUAGAGUGUUUCAAGAGCAAGGUUUAUAUGAAUAAUAACAGCUAUUAAACUACUCCGAAUUAACGCGUGCGAAGCCGCGGGCAAAAGCUAGUUAAUAAUAAUGCCAGUGUUGGGGCAAUCAUGAAUCGUUCUAGAAACUGUAAUUUCUACAAAUUUAUAUAGCAUUGGAUAGCUAUGUAUAGCUGGUUAACCGGUUGGUUAUUUUAUUGUUAAACUCGAGGGUAGUGAUAUAACAAUUGCUGGACGAUUGUUCAGUGAGACCCCACUGUCUACGGCAUCUGCGAUGAAAUGAACAUUUUACUAAUUCGAUUGUUCUAAAUUCGAAAUUUGUUUCUUUUUUCGAAGGGACAAAUAAGCGGGCGAAGGACGUGGUUCGAUUUUUAAAUCGAUUGAAAGCAUCGGCGUUACAAGUAUUAAUUAACAUUUUAUAAGCGCACAGUGGAUCUAUGUUAAUAUUAACUAUUAAUGAGGCAAUUGACUGGUAGAAUGUUCGUUUUGUCGUAAACUCGUCUGUAGUCGCUAAUUGUCUAUGGUGCGUUUAUGUACGUCGAAGUCAAUUGUUUUGAAAAAAAAAAUGUCUGUACAUACACACUUGCCAUACAUUCCGCGCGAUCACAGUAUUAAGGUGGCGUUGGUACCACAGACAAUCCGACUCUAGACGAACAGUGUCUAUGGCAACUUCUCUAUAGUCUGAUGAGAUGCGAGAGUAGAAAUUAGAAAGCAUACAGUCUCAAGCUGCCAGUGUUGCGUGUAUAAUGAUUUUAUUUUUUUAAUUUUUCCGGGGAAAACACGGUCCUCGCCGGGGCGAGUGAAUGGUGUGUGUGUAAGUUCGUAUGUAUGUCUGUCUGUACACGUGUACCGUUUAUUCAGUGAGCGAGUGCGAUUUUUGGGAAGAAAGAGAUUUUUUUCUAGAGGGUUGGCUGCCUGCUAGACUGUCGUGUUGUGUUGUGCGUUGUUUCAAUGUGUUGAUAUUAUGUUGUUCUACUCAAAAGAAAGAUCACUGUACUUUUAGCGCUUCAAAUAUGCUUUAAGGCUGUAAAUCGAUAAAUGUGUACUGAGUAUUGUGUACCCAAUAAUUCAUUUACAUGAACUAAAAUAGUCAUUUCACUUUUUGUAUGCUAAAUGUUGUGAGUUUUACAUUUUUGUGCAGUCUAUUUAAGCCAUUUUCGAAACAUGCAAGUGGUUCUCUCUUUUGAGUAGGCAACGCGAUACAAUACAUCAGUCCAGUGUGUAUCCAGCCUUAGAAUCGCACAGAUAAGUAGUAAGUGAAAAUGUAAGCGGUGGAAUAAAUUAACACCGUCCGGUAUAUGGACGCAAUGUAGUAAUCAUGUAGCAUAUGGAAUUGUUUAGGGUCGGUUCAGAUGGCGGGUUUAUUUCCGUUAUAUACACGCAACUGUUAAAAAAUUCUCGAAAAACUAGAAAACUCAUCCAAGAAUGACUCAAUUUUAUGUUUAUAAAGUUGUGACGGAUCGUGUAGAAGCGCCAUUAUUGACGGGAAAUUCGUCGUCUGUGCCGUUCUUAAUUCGUAAUUUAAAAUUCAUCACAUUAUCUGUAUCGUCAAUCGUGUAUUCCAUUUUUAAAUUGUAACGUUCCUCCACCGUGUUUUGAAUUUGAGAUUAGAUGCGUUGGUUUUUAAUUUAUUUUUUAAUCAGACUGAGGCGUACAGUGGCCGCGGCCGACAACUUUAAUCGAUUAUUGUAUGAACAAGAAUAUUGUAUAUUAAUUUCGUAAAUAAAAUAAUUUCUGGAUA
rnacentral:lncRNA from 1 species